rnacentral:rRNA from 1 species
UUGAGCUCCGCAGAUUGUUCUAGUGGCGGACGGGUGAGUAACGCGUGGGUACCUGCCUUAUACAGGGGGAUAACAACCAGAAAUGGUUGCUAAUACCGCAUAAGACCGCAUGGUAAAAACUCCGGUGGUAUAAGAUGGACCCGCGUUGGAUUAGCUAGUUGGCGGGUAACGGCCUACCAAGGCGACGAUCCAUAGCCGGCCUGAGAGGGUGAACGGCCACAUUGGGACUAAGACACGGCCCAGACUCCUACGGGAGGCAGCAGUGGGGAAUAUUGCACAAUGGGGGAAACCCUGAUGCAGCGACGCCGCGUGAAGGAAGAAGUAUCUCGGUAUGUAAACUUCUAUCAGCAGGGAAGAUAGUGACGGUACCUGACUAAGAAGCCCCGGCUAACUCCGUGCCAGCAGCCGCGGUAAUACGGAGGAUUCAAGCGUUAUCCGGAUUUAUUGGGUUUAAAGGGUGCGUAGGCGGUUGAAAGUUAGAGGUGAAAUCCCGGGGCUUAACUCCGGAACUGCCUCUAAUACUGUUAGACUAGAGAGUAGUUGCGGUAGGCGGAAUGUAUGGUGUAGCGGUGAAAUGCUUAGAGAUCAUACAGAACACCGAUUGCGAAGGC